rnacentral:rRNA from 1 species
GGAAUUCCCAAUGUAGAGGUGAAAUUCGUAGAUAUUGGGAGGAACACCCGUGUCGAAGGCGACUCUCUGGACCAAUACUGACGCUGAGACGCGAAAGCGUGGGGAGCAAACAGGAUUAGAUACCUUGGUAGUCCACGCUGUAAACGAUGAGAACUAGGUGUAGCGGGUAUUGACUCCUGCUGUGCCGAAGUUAACGCAUUAAGUUCUCCGCCUGGGGAGUACGGCCGCAAGGCUAAAACUCAAAGGAAUUGACGGGGGCCCGCACAAGCGGUGGAGCAUGUGGUUUAAUUCGACGCAACGCGAAGAACCUUACCUGGGUUUGACAUCCUUUGACAGUCCCGGAAACGGGAUCUUUCCGACUUUGUCGGAACAGGGUGACAGGUGCUGCAUGGCCGUCGUCAGCUCGUGUCGUGAGAUGUUGGGUUAAGUCCCGCAACGAGCGUAACCCUUGUCUUUAGUUGCCAGUAUUUAGUUAGGCACCCUAAAGAGACUGCCUCGGUUAACGGGGAGGAAGGUGGGGAUGACGUCAAGUCCUCAUGGCCUUUAUACCCAGGGCUACACACGUGCUACAAUGGGCUGUACAAAGGGUAGCUAAUUCGCGAGGAAGCGCUAAUCCCAAAAAGCAGCUCUCAGUUCGGAUUGGAGUCUGCAACUCGACUCCAUGAAGGUGGAAUCGCUAGUAAUCGUGGAUCAGCACGCCACGGUGAAUACGUUCCCGGGCCUUGUACACACCGCCCGUCACACCACGAAAGUCGACUGUACCAGAAGUUGCUGGGCUAACUCCGUUUACGGGGAGGCAGGUACCUAAGGUACGGCCGGUAAUUGGGGUGAAGUCGUAACAAGGUA